rnacentral:piRNA from 1 species
UUUGCGGUUCACCAAUAUAUGAUGUUC